AGGGGCAGCAUGAUUGAAGCUUGCUUCAAUUGAUGGCGACCGGCGCACGGGUGAGUAACGCGUAUCCAACCUUCCGUACACUCAGGGAUAGCCUUUCGAAAGAAAGAUUAAUACCUGAUGGUAUGAUGAGAUUGCAUGAUAUCAUCAUUAAAGAUUCAUCGGUGUACGAUGGGGAUGCGUUCCAUUAGGUAGUAGGCGGGGUAACGGCCCACCUAGCCGACGAUGGAUAGGGGUUCUGAGAGGAAGGUCCCCCACAUUGGAACUGAGACACGGUCCAAACUCCUACGGGAGGCAGCAGUGAGGAAUAUUGGUCAAUGGACGAGAGUCUGAACCAGCCAAGUAGCGUGAAGGAUGAAGGUCCUACGGAUUGUAAACUUCUUUUAUAAGGGAAUAAAACCUCCCACGUGUGGGAGCUUGUAUGUACCUUAUGAAUAAGCAUCGGCUAACUCCGUGCCAGCAGCCGCGGUAAUACGGAGGAUGCGAGCGUUAUCCGGAUUUAUUGGGUUUAAAGGGAGCGCAGACGGGUCGUUAAGUCAGCUGUGAAAGUUUGGGGCUCAACCUUAAAAUUGCAGUUGAUACUGGCGUCCUUGAGUGCGGUUGAGGUGUGCGGAAUUCGUGGUGUAGCGGUGAAAUGCUUAGAUAUCACGAAGAACUCCGAUUGCGAAGGCAGCACACUAAGCCGUAACUGACGUUCAUGCUCGAAAGUGUGGGUAUCAAACAGGAUUAGAUACCCUGGUAGUCCACACGGUAAACGAUGGAUACUCGCUGUUGGCGAUAUACUGUCAGCGGCUUAGCGAAAGCGUUAAGUAUCCCACCUGGGGAGUACGCC
rnacentral:rRNA from 1 species